UACGUAGGGGCUAGCGUUAUCCGGAAUUACUGGGCGUAAAGGGUGCGUAGGUGGUUUCUUAAGUCAGAGGUGAAAGGCUACGGCUCAACCGUAGUAAGCCUUUGAAACUGGGAAACUUGAGUGCAGGAGAGGAGAGUGGAAUUCCUAGUGUAGCGGUGAAAUGCGUAGAUAUUAGGAGGAACACCAGUAGCGAAGGCGGCUCUCUGGACUGUAACUGACGCUGAGGCACGAAAGCGUGGGGAGCAAACAGGAUUAGAUACCCCUGUAGUCCCUGAG
rnacentral:rRNA from 1 species